UGUUAAUACUCUGUGCAUGUUCGUAUAAUUUCGGGAAUAGGGCCCGUAAGUUUCUACCGAGCUACCGUAAAUGGCUUGACUAUGAACAAUGGGAUAGAACUA
rnacentral:ncRNA from 2 species